rnacentral:rRNA from 1 species
GACGAACGCUGGCGGCGUGCCUAACACAUGCAAGUCGAGCGAGUGAAUCUCCUUCGGGAGUGAAGCUAGCGGCGGACGGGUGAGUAACACGUGGGCAACCUGCCUCAUAGAGGGGAAUAGCCUUCCGAAAGGAAGAUUAAUACCGCAUAAGAUUGUAGCUUCGCAUGAAGUAGCAAUUGAAGGAGCAAUCCGCUAUGAGAUGGGCCCGCGGCGCAUUAGCUAGUUGGUGAGGUAACGGCUCACCAAGGCGACGAUGCGUAGCCGACCUGAGAGGGUGAUCGGCCACAUUGGGACUGAGACACGGCCCAGACUCCUACGGGAGGCAGCAGUGGGGAAUAUUGCACAAUGGGGGAAACCCUGAUGCAGCAACGCCGCGUGAGUGAUGACGGCCUUCGGGUUGUAAAGCUCUGUCUUCAGGGACGAUAAUGACGGUACCUGAGGAGGAAGCCACGGCUAACUACGUGCCAGCCGCCGCCGUAAUAC